rnacentral:lncRNA from 1 species
UUGAUGUCAUUUCACUCGGUAAAUGUCAGUCUGGUUUAGUGUUCUCUAAAGCUAUUUGACCCCAGCUACAUGGUCCAGUAGCAAUAACAGCCACAUGAUGGCCAAUUCAGAAAUACCUUUAGUGAUAUGUUGGAGUACAACCACAUGGUUAGAGUUUCCAUGUUAAAUCACUCCUUUCUUUUAUUAAUACUUAUUUGGUGAAGUUCUUGGCUGCAAUAUUACAAAUUUCAUGUGAAUGCUGUAUUGAAAAGAGAGGUGGAGCUUGCUUGUGGAUAUGAUGGAAUGCAAACAAUGGGCGAUGCUCACCACAUGUCCAUUGCAUGGCUAUCAAAUAGGGUAAAAAUAUAUUUUAUACAUUUUCCUAUUCUGGCGUAAACUAUCACCUGAUGCAAACUAAUUGUUAUUUUUGUUGAUCAAACCUUGCACCAAGUCAUGGUUGUCGUCAUCGCAGAGUUCAGUUAUUAUUCCUGUCAACAUCACCAUGUUCUAUCUGACACUUGGAACUGAGAGCAAGUAGUAUACCACUACCAGUACCUCUAGUAGUGUGGAUCAACAUGUUUUUGCAAUUCUGUUUUCGAAAGUAUUUUAUUUUCAUUCAUCUAGUAUUGUGGAUCGGCAUGUUUUGUCUAGUUUAUAUUACAUCUGUUUGUGACCUGGUACAUCUAUUUCUGACCUGUUUGUGUCCUGGUGCAAUCUUCAAUGCUUUUUUCUAUUUCUCGUUCCUCGUUCUGUCCUAUGGAGAAUGGGGAAAACAUGUGAAAGCUCAAGAUCUUUCUGUAACUAAAAGUUCUAUCAUAUGCACUAGUUCAAUCCCAUUAAAGUUCCACUAAUGCGCUAAAAUUUAUCAUUCCUGCUAUUGAUUCCUAGAAUUUACUGGCCUUAUCUCUCCUCCUGAAUCUUUGGUUGAUUGUUCCUCCUAUACUGGAUCAUAUUUACUGGCCUUAUCUCUCCACAUGAAUCUUUGGCUCCCCUGCUAUUUGAUGUUGAAGAACUAACAAGUACUGAUGGUUUCCUUAGGUAGGAAACAUCAUUUUGCACUAUAUCAUCUCUUUUGGACUGAAAAUAUAGAACAUAAUUGUUUUGUACAGAACUUUUAGCAGCAGUCACCACACUAUUUUUUAUCAUCUCUUUUGGACUGAAAUAAAUAACAUUUUGUACAGUAUAUAACUAGCUAUGAGGAUGUUGAUUGUUGUUGCACAGGAAACGACAUUACAUAAUAAAAAUAUUCUUUGAGUUCUUAUUAUGGACUGACCUGGUACUGUAGCUUAGGGUUGUGUGUCAGAUUGAUAUAUUAUGGAAACCCCGCUCCCGAGCAGGCCUAGUACAAGAAUUAGUAAAACUUAUUGUUAAGCAAAAUGGUUUGCACGUCACUAACUUGGUAUAGAUCCACAACAAAACUCUAACAUUGCUGAGAAUAGGUUCGGAUGCAAUACAGUCCAGAAAAUCACGUCUCUUCCAUCCUGCCCUCAUUUUGUUGCAUGUCCUUCUCAUUUUCUAAAAUUGCUCAAAGAUACAAGUUCUUUUGCAGGGACAAAUGGGAGAAAGUACCAUGUACUGAAGUUGAUCUAGGAUGUUUUGUUGUUCAUAUGGAAGUUGAUGUCGGCUUGAUCAAAGACCGGGUAUCUCCCAUAAUAUUUUGUAGUAGCCAAGUGAUCGAACAUUUGGUCUCUUGAGAACUUGCUCAUCAUAUUUUGUAACUGGCCAUGACCUGAAUGCCGACUUGUAUUUUUCCUUAAUGGCUGGAGCUAACUUGAGUGAAGAAAACUAGUGAAUCUUCUAUAUAUGUUGAAUGAAUGCAUUGGAUGUUAUCUUGUGAUGAAUGGAAGAGUGCAAUUGGAAUAUUCUAUAUAUGUUGAAUGAAUGCAUGCAUUUGCAUGUUAUCUUGUGAUAAAUGGAAUAGUGCAAUUGUAUUGCGUACUGAAAUGAUUUGAAUAAUAUGAUUUUGAUUGUAUUGCGUACUGGCAGAUAAAGUGUCGGCAUAGAAAUGGCCGUUGCACUAUC